GAUGAACGCUGGCGGCGUGCCUAAUACAUGCAAGUCGAGCGAACAGACGAGGAGCUUGCUCCUCUGACGUUAGCGGCGGACGGGUGAGUAACACGUGGAUAACCUACCUAUAAGACUGGGAUAACUUCGGGAAACCGGAGCUAAUACCGGAUAAUAUAUUGAACCGCAUGGUUGAAUAGUGAAAGACGGUUUUGCUGUCACUUAUAGAUGGAUCCGCGCCGCAUGAGCUAGUUGGUAAGGUAACGGCUUACCAAGGCAACGAUGCGUAGCCGACCUGAGAGGGUGGUCGGCCACACUGGAACGGAGACACGGUCCAGAGGCCUACGGGAGGCAGCAGUAGGGAAUCUUCCGCAAUGGGCGAAAGCCUGACGGAGCAACGCCGCGUGAGUGAUGAAGGCCUUCGGAUCGUAAAACUCUGUUAUUAGGGAAGAACAAAUUUGUAAGUAACUAUGCACGUCUUGACGGUACCUAAUCAGAAAGCCACGGCUAACUACGUG
rnacentral:rRNA from 1 species